rnacentral:rRNA from 1 species
GACGAACGCUGGCGGUGUGCUUCACACAUGCAAGUCGAACGAGGUAGCAAUACCUAGUGGCGGACGGGUGAGUAACGCGUGGGAAUCUGCCUUUAGAUGGGGGAUAACGGGUCGAAAGACUCGCUAAUACCGCAUAUGACGAAAGUUGAAAGGAGUAAUCCGUCUAAAGAUGAGCCCGCGUCCGAUUAGCUAGUUGGUAGAGUAAAAGCCUACCAAGGCGACGAUCGGUAGCUGGUCUGAGAGGAGUGAUCAGCCACAAUGGGACUAGAGACACGGCCCA